UAUUUCCAAGAAAUCAAUAUGAUAAAUAUAGUUAUUACAUACAUUCUACAAGUGGGUGUUACAUAAUAACUUCCUCAGAGUCACACAUUUAAUAAAUGUUGGAUCCAGGAUUUGAAACCAAGUUUGCCUGAUUGCUGAUCUGAAGUUCUUAGCCAACGUUAAAGUGUUGUUGCUUUCUGGGAGGGAGGGAGGAGCCAGAGAAAAAUGGUGCCAUCAUAGAAAGGAACUGAAAAGACUCUGCCUUCAUCAUUCAGACGUUGGGCUGCCUGCCAACAGCCGACCUCAGGGAAUCAAGAAAACUGAAUUUACAGAGGAAGACACUUUGGAGCUGGGUCCCAGAGCAUUCUGCUGAAGAUCUUGCAGAAGCUGUAAAACAAACAGGCGCUUGGCUCAUAAUUUGAGAUGCAAGUAAGAACAACUGUGAAAAGAAGAUUUCAUAAGGAAGGAAUGAAAUGCAAGAAUUUCUGUCCCCAUUGGUCAAAUCCCACUGGAACCAGUAGGAAGAGAGCAAAAUAGAAGAGGAAAGUGAAUCUGGAGGGGCAAAUGGAAGAUAUGUGGCAUGAGAUAUUAGAAGCAUUAUGCCCAGUUAACUAGCCCAACAGUUAAACCACCUGUCACCAUCUACCUGUGCUGCAUCCUCUCUGCUCCAGCCCUUCUUCAAACCCAGAAGCUUCUGCUGGGAAAGAACCUGUUUAGUGUUGCUUAAAAUUGUGCUCAUGCCGGAGAAUGUAAAACAUACUUACAACCUGCAGGUAGGCAAACAGCCUUUUG